GAAAAAAAAAACCAAAUUACUUUCCAUUCUCCACGAAUCGAUCGAGCCGCCGCCUGCCGUCUCUGCCCUCGCGCGAAUCGAUCGGGGAGCCUCCGCGAGCCCGCCGUCUCUGUCACCGGGGAGCCUCCGCGCGCCCGCCGUCUCUUCCCGUCGCGGAGCCUUGGGCCUGCCGUCGAUCUCCUCCCUCGUGCGCAGCCUAAGCUCACCAGGAACAACAUGUGGGACUUCCCCAUGGAGUGCCUUGACUAGAAGCUCGUCUACUAGCCAUCCGUCAACUGACUUCUCCUCAUGGAUCCGCGCCGUUCGUUCCUCUACCGCUCGCAAGCCACGUCCCCUUUGGAGAACAACGAGCCGCCGACAUCUGGCACUGUUUGAUUCUCAAUUGUUGUUUGUUUGAGUUAUUUCCGUGACAAUUACUUAUGGACAAGUUGUGGAUGAGAUUAGCUAGGUCUAGCGAUGAAUAUGCUGCAGGAGUAAGGAAAUUCGUACAGUUUGCUGCUGCUAAUUCUGGAAAAAAUGUUAAGAUCCUUUGCCCAUGCAAGAAUUGCGCCAACAGAUUUUGGUUAGCUGACCAACUGGUUUGGGACCAUUUGAUUUCUGUUGGGUUCAUAAAUGGGUACACCACUUGGGUUUAUCAUGGGGAAAAUGCAGUAAUCUCUGAACCAGUAGCCGAGACAACUCAAGAUCAGGUAGAAUAUGCAGAUAAAGAAGAGAUGGACCAGCUGUUGUUUGAUGCAUUUGGCAUGUACGAUAAAAGUACAUUAGAUUCAGAUUUAGCAGAAAAUAGUGACGACGAGUCUGAUGCAAAUCUGGAGUCAUACAAAAAUCUAGUCAAUGAAGCAAGCCAAGAGUUGUAUCCGGGUUGCAAAACGUUUUCGAUGCUUCAAUUCCUAGUUAGGCUCCUAAACAUAAAGAGCAUGUGGAGAAUGUCAAACAGAUGCUUUGAAGAGGUUUUAAAGCUUCUUAAGGACGUCAUACCACAAGGACAAUUCCUCCCUAAAAAUUUGCAUGAUGCCAAGAAAUACAUCAAUUCUGUUGGUCUAGGCUAUGAUAGCCAUGAUUCUUGCAUAAAUGACUGCAUUUUGUUCAAAGGGCAAUAUGCAGAUGCUUCUAUAUGUCCAACUUGUAAUACAUCUAGAUGGAAGAGUGAGAAGACAGGAGUUGAUGGGAAACGGGUGUUCAAGGUAGCUCGAAAGGUGGCUAGACAUUUCCCACUAGACAUCAGAAUUCAUAUGUUGUUUAUGUCUUCCAAGACCGGACCACACAUGGGUUGGGUUGAUGAAGGCAGAAUAAAGGAUGGAUUGAUGCGGCAUCCUGCCGACUCACCUGCAUGGAAACAUUUCGAUGCAACUCACAAGUGGUUUGGUGCUGAACCUAGAAAUGUUAGAUUUGGAUUGGCUACGGAUGGGUUCAACCCUUUUAGGAAUAUGAACCUUUCUUACAGCAUAUGGCCAAUCUUGUUAAUUCCCUAUAACCUCCCACCUUCGUUAUGCAUGAAGGAAACCAAUUUUAUUCUAUCAGUUAUUGUUCCGGGUAGGAAGGCACCAGGAAAAGAAAUAGAUGUUUACAUGCAGCUAACCUUGGAUGAUCUUUUACGUUGUUGGAAUCAUGGUGUACUGACUUAUGAUGCAUAUGUUGGCAAGAAGUUUACAUUUUAUGUGCUCUGAAGGUAAACUAUGGUGUACUCUGAAGGGAUUCUUCAACAUUGACGACUCAUACAAGAGUUGGGUGUUGAGAUCAGCUAGCAAAAAAUGGAAAGAUUUCAAGGCUGUUUUGAAAAAGAAAUAUUUUGAUACUAAUUUGUCUAGAGAGCAAAACAUUGUAAAAGGAUGUGAAGGCAGAAUACAUCCAAAGCAAUGGGUAUGGUUGGUGAGACAUUGGAAAACAAAGAAGGCGAAGGUUGUCUCUUACAAGAACAAACAUGCAAGGGAAACACAAGCAAAUGGUAUACACUCAGCUGGUUCAAGAAGCUUUGCCGUGGUUCAUGAUCAGAUGGAGAUUAAAGAGGGGAGAGCUGUGGGCUGUGCAGAGCUAUAUGUGGUCACACAUAAAAACAAGAAGGGAGAACCAAUUGAUGAAUACUGUGCAGGCAAGAUUGAUGAAAUAGAGUCUAAUUUGAAGGCUAAUCCUGAACUCAUUGGCGAAAAAGUACGUGAAGCUGAUAUGUACUGAACAAUAUUUCGAAAAGCAAAAACAUCAAUAAUGCAUGGAUUAGGGCUAACAGUUGGUGGAAAGAAAUCUGAGUAGAUUGCUCAAUUGGUAGCUGCACUAAAUGAAAGGACAAAUGAGAACAAGGAGCUUAGGAAUCUGGUAGAAAAUCUUGCUGCAAGUCAAAGUCAACUAUUGGAAGAGCACAAAGAGAUGAGAGCUAUGUUCCUAGCUUCUCAGAAGCAUCAAUCAAGCCAGCAGGAACAUGACAGUACAAACAAAGUGAUUCCAAAUGAUAUGAAUGUAGAUCCAGUUGGAGCGGAAGGAAUGAAGAAAUCAUAUGAGCAAUUGCAAGCAGAGGAGACUGUGUUCAAACAAGUGAAAGUAGAAAUGGUUGAAGCAAGUAAUGCUGAGGAAAAGAAGAGAUCAUAUGAGCAAUUGCAAUCACAGGACAAUGUGUUCAAACAAGUUAAAUUAGAAAUGGUUGAACCAAGUAAUGCCGAGGAAAAGAAUCUGGAAAACAAGAAGCCCAUUAGGCGGAGAACCUCUAAAACUAACAAGACGAGCCAGCCCAAAGUGCCACGAGACAAAGUGGCGAAGGGUGACACCAUUAAGUGUGGUAUGGAGGUUGGCUUGACAUCACCAAAUAGUGCAGCAGUCGUAGCACUCGGUACAGUUCAGAAUGUCAACAAAGAAGCAAAAUGUAUGGAUGGUAAACCGCUCAGUGAUUAUGUUGAGGUACUCGUGAACGUAGUCCUGAAAGGUACAACUUUGUUGCCAAGAUCCCAAGGGAGGGUCUUAAAUAUGGGGAAUGCUCAAGCUCGUUCUAUUCCUUGGCCCAGGGAAAAUGUUACAAGUAAAAAUGGUACACCCCUGAUGUCUAAGGUAAUUUAUAUGCUCCUGGUAGUAAGUAUUUGUGAAAUUUAUAUGCAAUUCUAUGUUAUCAGAAUUCUCUUAGUAGUAAGUAUAUCUGAAAUUUAUGAUCAAAUGAGUGAGCUCUCCGCUAUAUAAGCUGCUAACUUCUUGUACUGGAUCAGCUCUAACUGUCCAUGUUUCAUUUUAUCUAUAAAGGCUUAAAUUGUACUCCAGAAACCAGAGUCAUGCAUCUCAUAUAAGUUCUACAUAUAUGAUGUUUUGUACCAUUUUGUCUUUUGGUUCGGAAGGUUAUAACGCAGCAGUAGUAUCAAUACUUAAAGCUCAAAUAAAUUUCCACUGGAAUCUGCAAAUUUAAAAGCUGGGACAGGUGCCUGCGGCUCACAAUCACAGAUUACGGCUGAGAGGACAAAAAGGAAGACGAAAGUUUCCAAACCUACCACAACUGAAGCCAGUGUUGUCUUGAGUGAAUGAUGUCCUGACUUGAAUGCGAAUACUUGUCUUUUGAUGAAGUGUGUGAAUCAGCUGUUACAAUGCUUGUGUUGAACUGAAUGCUUUUCACCAAUUGAAUUCUACAAAAUUGGUACUAUUGAGUACUGUAAUCAGGUUGCUUGCUUAAAAGUGCGUCAAUAGUCUUUCAAGGCAUCUUA